rnacentral:lncRNA from 1 species
AUGGAAUAGGGUUUUACAAGGGUUUUGUAUUACUGAAUAAGGCCUAAGUUUCCUGAGGAGGAGACUCCUCUUUUAUACAUUGUCUUGCUUACUGGUGGCGUGUGAAGGUCUCUCCAGGAUUGGGCCACGCGUCUCUGCCAUGCGGAUUCGGAGGUACUAGGGUAUCAGCCGCCUGCUCCAUGCGUAACGGCCUCUGAUUCUCCUCGUGCGUACGUUCGAGCGGAUCUGCCAGGCUGUCUGGUGAAUAUUAUUCCGGAUCCUGGGCUGGGCUGAGAGUUGGGCCGGAUAUUAAGCUUGAGUGGAGAGGGUCUGCUUCGUGCGGGCCGGGCCAGCUUGAGUGAGGAAGAUGGGCCGAGCCCGGCCUUGAAGG